CCCUGGAUUCCCACAGUUGUUCUAUUGUAGCAGUAGAGUUAUACACUUGUCCUUGUUGAAUUUUACAGCACUGUUGUUGGUUCAGUCCUCCAAUUUGGUGAGGUCCCCUUGGACAGGAGACCUACCCUCUUGUGUAUAUCUAUGUAUAGCCUAUAUGUACUUCACAGAGUGGAAUGUGCUAGGAAAACAGAGCUGUAUUGUGAUGGGAAAAAAUGUGGAACAACACUCAUGAAAGCAGCCAAUGCCUUGGCUUUUUGAUGCAUGGGUUGUCCAGCAAAACAGAAAUUCAGGUGUGGUCUGUCUAAUCGGAGUGGCACAAGGGAGUUUGGUAGGGAGCUUAUAGGAGCAGCUGAGUGUCUUGCUGGUGUCUGCUGCUGUGCUGUAUGUGAAUGCCCGUUACUUUCACUUCAGUGUCUUGACAGUAGCUUUAGAUGCUGUUCUCUCUGUUCAGUACCCUCCCAUUCCAAAAUACCACUCCUGGUAGAGAAUAGUUCCAGUGAUGGGUGGUUAUUGAGCUGUCUGUGAAGGUGACAUUGAAGUGCCACGUGGGGCAGAAAACAAAGAUACCCUGAUACUGAGCCACACGUCAUUACUGCCUGUUCAUUUGGUUCUCCUGUGUGUGUGUGUACUUGGCACAGCACGUUUCUAAUGUGCAGGUGCCAUUUUUAUUGUACUGUGCUGUCAGGCUAUGCCUCCUUGUCCUUUAGCCUGCUUUCCAUAAUGUCUGUUAACUGUGUCCCAGUUUCAUAGUCACUCUCCUGGCAGGAAACUUGUGUUCUCAGAAAGGUCUGUGUUACUCUUACCUCACUUCACGCUCCCUAUUUAGAAGCCUAGAGAAAAUCAUGUGUCUUGGGUUAUUCAUCACAAGCACUAUGAACCUUGCUAUAUUACUUUUUCUUUAUCCUUUUCUCUUCCAGAUAAACCGUCAGUGCUGGUGCCAAAGGUUUUCCAUCGGGCAGAACAUGGCUGAUGCUUUGCAGUGCUCCCAUCUGUCCAGUUGUGGAGUUGAUGCUGACGGGGAUCAAUGGGACUUUGGACUUUGGACCCUGAAAGAAAUGCUGUGGGGCAGGGGCAGCUCCCAGGUGGGGGCCUCAUGGCUGGAGUGGAUGAAGUCAUCAUCUGGAGGUUGGGGAUGACAAGGCAUGAAGGAAAAUGCUUGCUGCAGAUGGCAGGGCCGCUGGCCGGAGGGAAAACACUGGGGAUAGGUUUCUGUGGACCCAUUGAUCGUGUGUUGAAAACCCAUUUGGAUCUCAUGAUGAAUGUAAAAAUGUUCUUGGUAUACCAUUUAAUUCAGACCUGCUUGGAGGAAAGUCUCUUGAAAUGAGCUGUAGCAGGAUUCCCUGGAUUUGUUCCUGGACAAAUCUGGGAUGGGUGUUACAGGUCAGCAGGCAGUGCCCACCAGGAUGUGAUCUGGCCAGGCCUGCAACCACUGCAGAAGAGUGAUGUGUCCUGUUGGGACCUGCCGCAGUUGCACAGAUGAUAUUCCCUGGUUUCUGAUCCUUCAAAUGCCAGCCUAAUGUGCGAGGCUGUUAAUCUUCCCAUUGGCAAGAACUUAAUGCUGGGAAAGCAGGGCAGAAUCCACUCCAGCAGGAGAUCCAGAGGCCAGGUAGAAGAAACCAAGCCAUAUACGUUACUUUAGGGGGAAAAGCUGCCAAAUAAAAGCUGGCAGCUCAGUCAGCUUCCUGUCUCUUCAGGGUAUUGUUCCAGCUUGGGGAGGGUAGCUUGGGCUCAGAUUUCAUGUGUUGAGCUGCUAUCUCUGGCAAUGAACCUUCUUAUGUCAGUGAGAAUCAUUUAUUGAUUGUGCCUCCAUGUUGCUGUGGAUAAACUGGAGACUCAGAAUUGUCUGUGGUGGCUGGAGAAGGUGAAAGGGAGGUGAGAUCUUUGAAUGGUGCUCAGGAAUAAUGCUAGGAAACUCCCUUGUCCUGAGUCUUGCUGCCCAUGAGACAUGCCUGAUACAGGCAGAACUUGUGCUAGAGCAUUCCCUACUGUCACCUCCCAUGCUGGGCGGCCUUCUCCUCCUGUUGUGCUGCUACUCAUCUCUCUUUCCGUUCUCCAUAGGAAGAAACUAGCGAUUUGUUGCUGUGAAGUUGCGUGGAAACCACAUUGUAAAGAAACCACAAACUGGAAUCCUUUUCCAGCCGGAUGCCUGUUUCCCGUGUGCCCAUCUGGUCUGGGAUGUGUGAGCAUUGAAGGAGUGAGAGGACAGAGCAGACAUCUUACAGCCUGCUCCUUGGGACCGCAGCCCUCCUGCCGGGGCGUGCCACCUCUGUGGGAGCAUUCCCUGGCCUUUGCAGGCAUGCAGGCUGCUGCUGUGCACUGAAGCCGUAAUGCCGGGAGUGUGGCAGUGUAGAGAUCAAUCUAGUUGGGUCUAUUGAAUACGACACAGUGAUUGCUCAUCCACCCACUGUUUAGUAACUGGUGUAACUGUGUAUUCAUCCAAAUUUUUUUAAUAUGCAAAAGCCAUUUAAUUUUCUAUGCAGUUCAGAAACAUCCUGCCUUUGCAGUUGCCAGGUGGGAGAUCCAUGCAGGAGAACCAAACCAAGCGGCUCAUAGUACUUUUGAUUUUGCUGUCGCUGUCUUUUAAGGAUGCAGCCUUGGAUCCUCAUACAGUGUCCCUUUGCUGAGCUCCUGCCUCAGACCCCACAUAAUAUCCCUCAGCCCCAGGGAUGAGGGCCCUGUAUUUUUGAAGGAUCUGUCAUUUUUCAUUAAUCAAGCCACAAGGAAAGAGGGCUUGAAUGCAUUGCCCUAAGAGCAGAUACCUGAGUUCAGAGUAUGUAUUAUGUUCCAGUUCUUAUCCCUGCUCAGGGAGUUACCACAGUUAGAAAUUACUAAGGCCUCUGUGGACCACUGUGCAGUCUUUACUGAAGAUGUAUUAUAAAGAGGUCAGAAAGGACUGGGGCAUCAGCUGUCUCCCUGUGGAGCUGUCAAUGAAUUUGACUCCUUUGGAAUAGGAGGAGAAUCUCCUGGCAGUCUCUAGAUGCCUACUUCACCCAAGAUGAUUGUACUGGUUUUGCUUAUUGGUUUGCAAUCCCUUGCUUGACCAGUUUUUGAUUUCCUGCUGAAACUGGUUCAGACACAUUUGGAAGCAGAGCUAGCGAGCUGCUUUUGCACUCCAGGACUUUCAGCAGCUGGAAGAUGUCUGGAGUACCUUGUGUUACACUCUGAAGCAAAACCUGGGAUUCAAAACUGCAUCCGUCCAAGUCAAACUCCCAGGACAGCAGCCUUGCCAUGUCCCUAAGCAACAUACAAAUAGGUAGAGAUGAGAGAGAGUGAGCUCAAAUGGUGAUGCUGCACACCUAGGUCAUUUUAGGGCUUACAGGAGUACUGGGAGACUUUUGGCAGCUGCAGAGGGUCCUGGGUGAUGGGACACCUCUGUUUUAACUUUGCUAUAAGCAAAAACGUCUCAGAAGUAAGAUUGUUUCCAGUCUGCCACAAGGCCAGGAUCCCUUUGACUAGUCUCCUUUCAUGGCAGUGCUGUUCUGCAUUGUCUCUGCUCUGUGCUUGGGGGAUUCAGCUUUAGAAAGUUAAACUGAAAUAGAGGCUAGUUUGGGAUUUACCCUGCCUUAUAGUCUCUCAGAUCAGAUGAAAGAGACUAGGGGCUGCAGAAACAUGGGUCAUCUCCUUUGCAGCAUCCCCCAUGCCACAGUUUUAUGAUGGCUGUAAAAACUCAGUAGUGUAUUUGGAUGCUGCUUUCCCAGGAACUCCAGAUGUGCUUGGCUGUACUGUAGCACUGGAACUUAAGUGGGAUCCCUGUUCUUUUUCCCAUUGUACCUCUGAGGCAGCUAAAGUUUGUCCAAGCAGUUGAGGCUCCUCACUGUGAGGAGUUAGAUACAGUUGUGUCAAAGGGAACUGCAAAUGUUACUUAGGAGCUCACUAAGUGAGAUGAAAAUCCACUGGCUCACUCCUGCAGAGCCAGAUCCUGGAGCUCAGUUCCUCUCACGCCCUUUGGAUGGGAUCUUGAGCUGUCAUUCCUUGGAACAGCUGUGCCGGGAGGUGGAGAUGCUGCACUGCAGUAAGCACAAGAAGAGGCAAGCAAGUGGGCCUCAGUGUAGCACUCAUCACACGCUUCAUGGCUCAGUUCAUGGACUGUAACUGCAGGUAUUCAUAUUAUCUACGUCACUGGGCAGGACUCUGCACACACACACACACAUGCAUGCCCAGACAUACGCGCACCACACCUCCACUUGCCCACACGUCCUCGCCAAAAUGACUGAAAAUAAAAGUGAUCUCAAUCUCCAGGA